GGGGGUAUUACUAAUACUGAGUUUUGUUUUUGAUUUUUCCUUUUUGAGUCAAAUGUUUUAGUGAGUCAAGAAGGGGAUGAUGAUAAGUUUUUCGAUUUAUAUUAGUAUUUUACCAUCUCUAGCACCAUUUUAGAUGUACUGAUUCCAGAGUAUACUAGAUGAAACACCGCAGUGGAUCACCUACCACUAACACGCACACC
rnacentral:lncRNA from 1 species